GGGUCAGAUUGGAUGGUAGGGUCAGAUGGGGUGACAUGGAGUUACGGAUCACAUGGGUGGUAUGGUCGGGGUGAGGUGGGGGCAGGGAUCCCAGAGUUAUGGGGCCAAAUGGAAUUGGGUCGCAGCGUGAUGGGGGCAGGCAGAGUCAGGGAGUCACAGGGUCAUGUGGGGGUAUGAUUCCCCCAGGGCUGUGGGUCACGUGCAGCCAUGGGGUCACGCACAUAGAGGGCGAUGAGGUCAUCUUGGGUUAUGGCUCAUGUGGGGUUAUGGCUCAGGGCCCCACCUUUGGGCCACAGGGACGCCCAGUCUCCUCUCAAGAUGAAAUGAAACCACUCCAACACUGCCCCCCCCAACCUCUUUUUACCUCAAACCGCUCCCCACAUCCUCCCAUACUCUCUAUGUCCCCAUACUACCCCAUACCCCUGUGUCCCACCUGCAGCUCACGUCUUGUCUUCUCCUGAACAGCAUUCUGCUCCUGAAGGCUGUGUCCCCAUAUCUUCCAGUGUCCCUAUAUCCCCCCCACGGCCCCCACAGAGCCCCAUAGCUCCUCAAAAACCUUUUCCCAGUACACCUCCCCCCGGAAACCUGGGACCUCACAGAGCCCCACAGUCCCCAGCAGCACCCCACGUCCCCCUCUGAGCUCCCGCUGAACCCCCCUAUUUCCUUUCUCAGAUAUCCCUUACACCCUCAGCCCCCCCCCCUGCUUCUCGGACUCCCACAGUUUCUGAGAGGACCGCCAUCACCAUCCCAGGAUCCCCAUAUCCCACCGAUGAG
ensembl:lncRNA